GACAGCAGUUCCGCUCUGGCCGGACAGCCGUGACGCGGCUCCGUCCCAGCCGACGGCAAGGCGUGCUGCGCGUCACAGAGGCUGGCGGCCGUCGUCCGCGCCCAGCUGGCCGGCGCCUCGGUGGUAGUCGGACGUGCUGGGAGACGUCCGCGCCUGUUGCUUCGUGUCGGAUGCACGCGGGGCGCACGGCACACCGCCGUGCUGUCCGAACACGUCGCACUAUCCUCGACGCGUGGUGCUCUGACUGUGCUGGUCGCGUUAAAGCCAGACAUUAGCAUUCACAACGUGUCGACGCUGCAGUUCGGGUCGGCGGCUGACCUGAGAUCGGGAGAGCCGCGCGAGUGGGCCUACACAGAGCGGGCCAACGGCGACUACCGCUACUAUGAGAAGCGCCACUUCUGCGGCGUCACGGACAGCUACCUGGACAGCUUCAUGAACGUGGACAAGACCGUGUACGGCCGCAUGUGCCCACCGAUCGCGCCCUGUCAGCCCUGGUGGAUGCCGUACUCGCAGAUCAAUAUCCGGUAGUGGUUUUUUUCACCACGCAAGGGGUGUGAUGAAUGAGGCGCAUUGCGAUACAGUGGCGUGCGAUUCGUGCAGUCAGGGUGGCCGUAGUCCAUAGUGCACCUGUGAUGUGUCGGCCCUCCUGUGACAGCUGCGAGUGGCGGAAGAUAGCGUCUCGACCCAUGUUCCACUUUCAAAAGCACGCGGUAGACCGUCACGUGAGUAUAGAAGCCAACCAUCUACUUAGUUGCGUGUUUAAAGACUGAAGAAGUUUGAUGCAGGCGAUGAUUUGUCUCCGUUGCCGUUCCUCCGCGUUACGACACUUUGACCAUAGCGGUGUUUUCUUAGUGUACUUUGACGCUGUAAACAUCUGUAUCGUGCUUUGAUUAUUAUGUAGCGUGCAAAUAUCACUAAAGCGUCGUGACGGACGUUUGGUUUCAACUUG